rnacentral:rRNA from 1 species
UACGUAGGUGGCAAGCGUUAUCCGGAAUUAUUGGGCGUAAAGCGCGCGCAGGUGGUUUCUUAAGUCUGAUGUGAAAGCCCACGGCUCAACCGUGGAGGGUCAUUGGAAACUGGGAGACUUGAGUGCAGAAGAGGAAAGUGGAAUUCCAUGUGUAGCGGUGAAAUGCGUAGAGAUGAUGGAGGAACACCAGUGGCGAAGGCGACUUUCUGGUCUGUAACUGACACUGAGGCGCGAAAGCGUGGGGAGCAAACAGG